GCAGAUCCAUGAUCUGCGCUCACGCCGCUACCAGACUUGUCAAGCUUCAUCGAUGGUUCCUUUUGCAUCUAUCAACCCUUAAGCUUUGAUGGAUCACCAUUUGGAACGUUAGGCGGAAAUUUCAAUAGUUUCAUUAACUUGAUGCAAUUUCCAGUUAGCAGAAACUCCACCUCUUUUAGCCUAAUAUCAUGUCUAAUCCUAAACUAAGCGAAUUAUGACGGCAAAGAUAUUACUUCCAC
rnacentral:lncRNA from 1 species